UCUACUGCGUUGUCUUGUACCAACUAAAAAUAGAGGUAUUUUAUCUCAGGUUCUCUACUAUGUGUAAUCUCGUAUCAAGAUUAAUGAGUAUCGUGAUCGUAUAAUUUUGAAUCCUAUCAACCCAUAUGGCAAGGCAAAGAAAAUUACAGUGGACAUCAUCCUAGAUUUUACAAAAUCAAAGGAGCAACCAGACAUGGCUGUCAUGAUCUAAGAUACUUCAACGUGAUUGGAUCGAACCCAGACAAAUGACUAGGAGAAGCUCCAAGGCCACUUUGUCAAGGGUCUCUGCAAUGCACUUACUGGUGCAUGAUUUACUGGAGGUUGUGCACAUGAAUGUGCCACGCAUUGGUAUGUGGGUUGGAGUUGAAGCAG